AUUCACGCUGGCGGCGUGCCUAAUACCUGCAAGUCGAGCGAACAGACGAGGAGCUUGCUCCUCUGACGUUAGCGGCGGCCGGGUGAGUAACACGUGGAUAACCUACCUAUAAGACUGGGAUAACUUCGGGAAACCGGAGCUAAUACCGGAUAAUAUAUUGAACCGCAUGGUUCAAUAGUGAAAGACGGUUUUGCUGUUACUUAUAGCUGGAUCCACGCCGCAUUAGCUAGUUGGUAAGGUAACGGCUUACCAAGGCAACGAUGCGUAGCCGACCUGAGAGGGUGAUCGGCCACACUGGAACUGAGACACGGUCCAGACUCCUACGGGAGGCAGCAGUAGGGAAUCUUCCGCAAUGGGCGAAAGCCUGACGGAGCAACGCCGCGUGAGUGAUGAAGGUCUUCGGAUCGUAAAACUCUGUUAUUAGGGAAGAACAAAUGUGUAAGUAACUAUGCACGUCUUGACGGUACCUAAUCAGAAAGCCACGGCUAACUACGUG
rnacentral:rRNA from 1 species